rnacentral:rRNA from 1 species
AGAGUUUGAUCAUGGCUCAGAAUGAACGCUGGCGGCGUGCCUAACACAUGCAAGUCGAACGGGAACAUUUCGGUAGCAAUAUCGGGGUGUUCUAGUGGCGGACGGGUGAGUAACGCGUGGGCAACCUGCCUCAUACAGGGGGAUAACACUGGGAAACUAGUGCUAAUACCGCAUAACGUCACGAUAUGGCAUCAUAAUGUGACCAAAGGAGCAAUCCGGUAUGAGAUGGGCCCGCGUCCGAUUAGCUAGUUGGUGAGGUAACAGCUCACCAAGGCGACGAUCGGUAGCCGAACUGAGAGGUUGAUCGGCCACAUUGGGACUGAGACACGGCCCAGACUCCUACGGGAGGCAGCAGUGGGGAAUAUUGCGCAAUGGGGGGAACCCUGACGCAGCAACGCCGCGUGAAGGAUGAAGGUUUUCGGAUUGUAAACUUCUUUGAUGAGGGACGAACAAAAUGACGGUACCUCAAAAACAAGCCACGGCUAACUACGUGCCAGCAGCCGCGGUAAUACGUAGGUGGCGAGCGUUGUCCGGAAUUAUUGGGCGUAAAGAGUGAGCAGGCGGCAGUUUAAGUUUGGAGUCAAAGCGAGGGGCUCAACCCCUUAACGCUCUGAAAACUGAACAGCUAGAGUGCGAGAGAGGUAAGUGGAAUUCCAUGUGUAGCGGUGAAAUGCGUAGAUAUAUGGAGGAACACCAGUGGCGAAGGCGACUUACUAGCUCGAUACUGACGCUCAGUCACGAAAGCGUGGGUAGCAAAUAGGAUUAGAUACCCUAGUAGUCCACGCUGUAAACGAUGAGAACUAAGUAUUGCCGUGAGGCAGUGCUGAAGCUAACGCAUUAAGUUCUCCGCCUGGGGAGUACGGUCGCAAGGUUGAAACUCAAGGAAUUGCCGG